rnacentral:rRNA from 1 species
GACGAACGCUGGCGGCGUGCUUAACACAUGCAAGUCGAACGGAAAGGCCCUGCUUUUGUGGGGUGCUCGAGUGGCGAACGGGUGAGUAACACGUGAGUAACCUGCCCUUGACUUUGGGAUAACUUCAGGAAACUGGGGCUAAUACCGGAUAGGAGCUCCUGCUGCAUGGUGGGGGUUGGAAAGUUUCGGCGGUUGGGGAUGGACUCGCGGCUUAUCAGCUUGUUGGUGGGGUAGUGGCUUACCAAGGCUUUGACGGGUAGCCGGCCUGAGAGGGUGACCGGCAACAUUGGGACUGAGAUACGGCCCAGACUCCUACGGGAGGAAGCAGUGGGGAAUAUUGCAAAAUGGGCGGAAGCCGGAUGCAGAAACGCCGCGUGCGGGAUGACGGCCUUCGGGUUGUAAACCGCUUUCGCCUGUGACGAAGCGUGAGGGACGGUAAUGGGUAAAGAAGCACCGGCUAACUACGU